rnacentral:ncRNA from 1 species
ACAAUGACAUCAUAAUCACGGCGGCUGAAUACAGUGAUGUAUUCAGACAAGCUGACUAAUAUCGGGAAAAUCCUAACGAGCAAUCGAAGGACAAUUCCGAGGGAAGCAAUGGAGAACAUUGUACCCGUAGAGACUAAACGUCAGCACCCUUACGUAAAAGUAAGGCGAUGCUAUAGUCCGAUCCCUCUCGUAAGAGAGGU